rnacentral:tRNA from 1 species
UCCCUGGUAGUCUAGUGGUUAGGACUCUGUGCUUUUACCGUCCAGGGUUCAGGUUCAAUUCCUGGUCUGAGAA